AUUGAACGCUGGCGGAAUGCUUUACACAUGCAAGUCGAGCGGCAGCGCGGCCUUCGGGCUGGCGGCGAGCGGCGAACGGGUGAGUAAUGCAUCGGAACAUGCCCAGUCGUGGGGGAUAACACUUCGAAAGAAGUGCUAAUACCGCAUACGUCCUGAGGGGGAAAGCGGGGGAUCGCAAGACCUCGCGCGAUUGGAUUGGCCGAUGUCAGAUUAGCUAGUUGGUGGGGUAAAGGCCUACCAAGGCGACGAUCUGUAGCUGGUCUGAGAGGAUGAUCAGCCACACUGGGACUGAGACACGGCCCAGACUCCUACGGGAGGCAGCAGUGGGGAAUUUUGGACAAUGGGGGCAACCCUGAUCCAGCCAUUCCGCGUGAGUGAAGAAGGCCUUCGGGUUGUAAAGCUCUUUCAGCAGGAACGAAACGGUGGGCUCUAACAUAGUCCGCUAAUGACGGUACCUGAAGAAGAAGCACCGGCUAACUACGUG
rnacentral:rRNA from 1 species